rnacentral:rRNA from 1 species
CACGAAGGGGGCUAGCGUUGUUCGGAAUUACUGGGCGUAAAGCGCACGUAGGCGGCUUUGUAAGUUAGAGGUGAAAGCCCGGGGCUCAACUCCGGAAUUGCCUUUAAGACUGCAUCGCUCGAAUUGUGGAGAGGUAAGUGGAAUUCCGAGUGUAGAGGUGAAAUUCGUAGAUAUUCGGAAGAACACCAGUGGCGAAGGCGACUUACUGGACACAUAUUGACGCUGAGGUGCGAAAGCGUGGGGAGCAAACAGG